rnacentral:rRNA from 1 species
UUAAGCAUAUCAAUAAGCGGAGGAAAAGAAACUAACAAGGAUUCCCUUAGUAACUGCGAGUGAAGAGGGAAAAGCUCAAAUUUGUAAUCUGGCGGUCUUUGGCCGUCCGAGUUGUAAUCUAGAGAAGUGCUACCUGCGCUGGACCAUGUACAAGUCUCCUGGAAUGGAGCAUCAUAGAGGGUGAGAAUCCCGUCUUUGACAUGGACUGCCAGAGCUUAUAGGUGCACUCUCAAAGAGUCGAGUUGUUUGGGAAUGCAGCUCAAAAUGGGUGGUAAAUGCCAUCUAAAGCUAAAUAUUGGCGAGAGACCGAUAGCGAACAAGUACCGUGAGGGAAAGAUGAAAAGAACUUUGGAAAGAGAGUUAAACAGUACGUGAAAUUGCUGAAAGGGAAACGCUUGAAGUCAGUCGCAUCGGUUGGAAAUCAACCUUGCUUUUGCUGGGUGUACUUUCCGUCUGAUGGGUCAGCAUCAAUUUUGAUCGCUGGAUAAAGUUCUUGGGAACGUGGCAUCUUUGGAUGUGUUAUAGCCCUUGGACAUAUACAGUGGUUGGGAUUGAGGAACUCAGCACGCCGCAAGGCUGGGGCUUUUGUCCACAACACGUGCUUAGGAUGCUGGCAUAAUGGCUUUAAUCGACCCGUCUUGAAACACGGACCAAGGAGUCUAACAUGCUUGCGAGUGUUUGAGUGGAAAACUCAUGCGCGUAAUGAAAGUGAUAGUUGAGAUCCCUGUCAUGGGGAGCAUCGAUGCCCAGACCAGACCUUUUGUGACGGAUCUGCGGUAGAGCAUGUAUGUUGGGACCCGAAAGAUGGUGAACUAUGCCUGAAUAGGGUGAAGCCAGAGGAAACUCUGGUGGAGGCUCGUAGCGAUUCUGACGUGCAAAUCGAUCGUCAAAUUUGGGUAUAGGGGCGAAAGACUAAUCGAACCAUCUAGUAGCUGGUUC